rnacentral:rRNA from 1 species
CAAUAGCGUAUAUUAAAGUUGCUGCAGUUAAAAAGCUCGUAGUUGGAUUUGUGGCGCGACCGUCCGGCGGGGCUCCUUCAUUGGGGCCGUUUGUCUGGUUUUCGGCCGCCCCAUUCUCGGGUAGCGUGUGACUGGCAUUAGGUUGUCGGUUACUUCGCGCCCGUCGUUUACUGUGAAAAAAUUAGAGUGUUCAAAGCAGGCUUAGGCCGUUGGAUACAUUAGCAUGGAAUAAUGAGAUAGGGCCACGACGGUCUAUUUUGUUGGUUCGCACGUUGUGGUAAUGAUUAACAGGAACGGUUGGGGGUAUUCGUAUUCAAUUGUCAGAGGUGAAAUUCUUGGAUUUAUGGAAGACGAACUACUGCGAAAGCAUUUACCAAGGAUGUUUUCAUUAA